CAGAGUGAAGGAAAAGCAGUGUGCAAAGCCGUUAUCAAGGCAAAGAGCAAUGGCAGCCUCAGACCCUCAAGCAAUGUUACUUUGCAUUGUUAAUGCUGGCCAUACAAGGAAGAUAAACCUCAUCUCCCAUCCAGCAGCCGCUGUUGACGUAAACAUUUUGAAGGAACAUUUUGAGUUGAACCACGACUUCCUCUUGCAGUAUGAAGACCCUGACAUUGAUGGACAACUUACCUGCUUGAUGAUCAUUGAAGAGUUGCCACAAAAAGCAACACUGCACAUUUCAGUGGAAGAAGGAGAUUCAAGUUCUACUCCCAACCACUGACAGAAUAAUGGGGACCAUGUCUGUUCCCUCAGCAACGUGUUGUAUCAGUUCCCACAGCCCUAUAUUUCCUCAGCCCUAUUUUCCCUCAGCUGGUCCUUCAGCUGUCCUUCAGUUCUAUCAGUUCAGCUGGUCCUUCAGUUCUAUCUUCUAAACCAUGGAUCGGCAACCCAAAUGAGAGAUACUUUUUUCAAAUUCUCUCAAUAGCUAGUAUUUUUGGAGCUGCACUGAAUGUAUCCCUGUUUAAGAGGGGGAAAACAGAAAAUAUGGUCAUUAUAGACAACUGGAUGUUAUGUGAUAACAAAUAUUUCACAUGGCGUAUAUUUUUUACACCAUUGAUGUACACUCAAAAAAAAUGCUAGGCUGCCCCAACUGCUGGUUUGCAGAUGUUGUACGAUUAUUUUCAAUACCAGACGUAUUUCAUAAGGCCUUAUUUUGAGGGCCUAGUUUUACCCUAAUACAGGAUCUUGAAACUCAUACACAUCACUUUCAACAAAACCACUCCCAUCAUUAUCAUAUCUCCCAGCAUACUCUGCAACAGCAAGUUGCAAGUGAAUAAAAAUGUUAAAUUGGAAA